rnacentral:rRNA from 1 species
CCUACGGGAGGCUGCAGUGGGGAAUAUUGGACAAUGGGGGCAACCCUGAUCCAGCCAUGCCGCGUGUGUGAAGAAGGCCCUCGGGUUGUAAAGCACUUUCAGUGAGGAAGAACGCCUAGUGGUUAAUACCCAUCAGGAAAGACAUCACUCACAGAAGAAGCACCGGCUAACUCCGUGCCAGCAGCCGCGGUAAUACGGAGGGUGCGAGCGUUAAUCGGAAUUACUGGGCGUAAAGCGCGCGUAGGUGGCUUGAUAAGCCGGUUGUGAAAGCCCCGGGCUCAACCUGGGAACGGCAUCCGGAACUGUCAAGCUAGAGUGCAGGAGAGGAAGGUAGAAUUCCCGGUGUAGCGGUGAAAUGCGUAGAGAUCGGGAGGAAUACCAGUGGCGAAGGCGGCCUUCUGGACUGACACUGACACUGAGGUGCGAAAGCGUGGGUAGCAAACAGGAUUAGAUACCCUUGUAGUC